GGUUUGCUACGGUCGGAAUCGACCCGACGAGACGCGCCGUACCGGGACCCGCAAAGACGACGCACC
rnacentral:ncRNA from 1 species